rnacentral:rRNA from 1 species
GACGAACGCUGGCGGCGUGCCUAACACAUGCAAGUCGAGCGGAGUCAGUAAGAGGAAGUUUUCGGAUGGAAUCUUAUUGAUUUAGCGGCGGACGGGUAAGUAACGCGUGAGCGACCAACCUUGCACAGGGGGAUAACGGACCGAAAGGUUCACUAAUACCGCAUGAGAUCACGGUGUUGCAUGACACAGAGGUCAAAGGAGCAAUCCGGUGCAAGACGGGCUCGCGUCCGAUUAGGUAGUUGGAGGGGUAACGGCCCACCAAGCCUAUGAUCGGUAGCCGACCUGAGAGGGUGAUCGGCCACAUUGGAACUGAGAUACGGUCCAAACUCCUACGGGAGGCAGCAGUGGGGAAUAUUGGGCAAUGGGGGAAACCCUGACCCAGCAACGCCGCGUGAAGGAAGAAGGUUUUCGGAUUGUAAACUUCUGUCCUUGGUGAAGAGAAGAAGACGGUAGCCAAGGAGGAAGCCCCGGCUAACUACGUGCCAGCCGCCGCUGUAA